ACACUCUUCUGCCUUAGCAUCUCAGUCUGAUUGUAUUUCCAUAAAGAAGUGAUCAUCAAUGUUCUACCUUGAGCUGCGCCACCCCGCUGUAGUCCCUAAUGGACUGGCCUGAGGUCUCGCUACAAACAAGCGGCUGCUGAAAGAGAGUAGGUGAGUUGUGUUUAGUCUCUUUGUGUAAGCAAUUAUGCAAAGCUCAAAGGAUGUUUGGUAUGAGAGUGUCUAGAAAUGAUUUCUGUAGAGAUUUUUUAUUUUUUUUUAACUUGAACUUUCAAACCAAACCAGAACAUUUAGGAUGUCACAGCUGUAAAUAAUGUCUUAACCUUUGUUUAUUAUGUCAGGACUGAUGUUAAAACGUCAGAGUCAGACUCCAAACUGUGGUGGGUUAAGGGUCACAGGUGCAGCGUGUGCGUGGGUGUGUGUGUGUGUUUAUCGUGUGUGUUUGAGUGUUCGUUUGUUUGUGUGGCUGCAGCCGUCACAGAGGAGGAGCUAUAAAUCCCUGAAUGUGAUGAUGGGUUUCUGACGUCGGGAGGUGUCAGUGAAUGUAUCAGAGAUGUUCAUGUUUGCGCUCCCACCUCACCGCAGGGUCAAGGUUCAAGUUCAGAGUGUUGUCAAGUUUUUAGAUCCUCACGUUUAAGGACUUUUUAAACAUGUGCACUAUCAGAGGAUUGUACUUUCAAGUUUUUUUCUUAUAUUUUUACCGUUUCCGCUCAGAAAUGCUCCUUUUUCUGUUGGCUAAGACUGAUUCACAUUUUCAUUACUUUAUUUAAUUGGUUUGUUGUCAUUAUUGUGUGUUUGAGCAUGUUUUAAACCAAACUCUUG